rnacentral:rRNA from 1 species
UACAGAGGGUGCUAGCGUUAAUCGGAUUUACUGGGCGUAAAGCGUGUGUAGGCGGUUCGUUAAGUCGGGUGUGAAAUCCCUGGGCUCAACCCGGGAAUUGCAUUCGAUACUGGCGAGCUAGAGUACGGUAGAGGGCGGCGGAAUUCCGGGUGUAGCGGUGAAAUGCGUAGAUAUCCGGAGGAACACCGAUGGCGAAGGCAACCGCCUGGGCCUGUACUGACGCUGAGGUACGAAAGCGUGGGGAGCGAACAGG